UGCGUGCAUGCAUGUGUGUGUGUGUGGACUCACCAGACAGAAGCUGAAUUAUGGCCGUGAAGACGAAUCUCUCUCCCUGCUUUAGACGGAAGAGCUGAAGAAUGAAGACAAAGAAUCCCACACAGCACAAGAUGGUGGCCAGUAUCAUGGUGGCCUGCACUGCUUGAAGAUAUGCUGAUAAAGACAAAGACAACAAACACAAGCUGCCUUCCUGUGCUCUGCUGAGGGGAGGAACCAGGGGAGGAGAACCGUGAGACCAAAAACUCAAAACACCAUGCCCACAAAUCUGCGAUUUGAACCAGGAAAUGUGUUGAGCAGAUGAUUCGGAUGCCAUGAAUACAUUCAAGGGAUACUUAUGAAGGCCUGUUCCAGCUCACUGGCGGUCCUUUCAAUCUAACAAAUCUCCUGCAGGGUCUGCGGACAGAGCCCAAGACCAAAUUGUGCGCUAUGGACACAAAUGAGGAAUGGCAAGAUUAGCACAUUUGUAUUUUCACUGGACGUUCACAUAUACAUGCUCUAUUCGGAGGAAUUUGAUGUCCGAACAAAGACCCAUUAUGACUAAGUUUUACAACUAUAAAGAUAAACUAUAAAACUACAUUAGCAUCCACACCAGCAUGUGAUAACAUAUGCUGCAUAAAUCUGUCAUUUUAAAUGCUCAAGCUCUUAAAACAAAGAUGGAUUUAGAUUGGCUGUCAAUAAAGUAAAGUGUAUUUUAUAUAGCGCAUUUAUCGUGUAUGGCCAUACACCCAAAGCGCUUCACAAUCAUGAGGGGGGUCUCUCCACACCACAACCAGUGUGCAGCAUUCACUUGGAUGAUGCGACGGCAGCCACAGGACAACAGUGCCUGUGCGUUCACCACACACCAACUAUUGGAUGAUUGGGAGGCUAUGAUGGUUAAGAGCUGACGGAGGAAAUUUGGCCAGGACAUCUGCGCUGCACCCCUACUCUUUACGAGAAGUGCCAUUGGAUUUUUAAUGACCACAGGGAGUGAGGACCUUGGUUUAACGUCUCAUCCGAAAAACAGUGCUCACUGACAGCAUAGCGUCCCCAUCAAUAUACUGGGGCAUUAGGACUCACACAGACCACAGGCUGAGUGCCCCCUGCUGGCCUCUCUUACACC